rnacentral:rRNA from 1 species
GUGUCUGGGAUAUAUCCGGCGAGGGGAGGCGGAGAGUUGUAGCUGGCCUCUAGGGGCAUGUGCACGCUCUCUUCCGGACCUUUCGCCGUAUGGGCGCGGGGCGACCCGCGUCUUCAUAUACCUCUUCGUGUAGAAAGUCUUUGAAUGUUUUACCAUCAUCGAGUCGCGACUUCUAGGAGACGCGAUUCUUUGAGAAAAAAGUUAUCACAACUUUCAGCAACGGAUCUCUUGGCUCUCGCAUCGAUGAAGAACGCAGCGAAUCGCGAUAUGUAAUGUGAAUUGCAGAUCUACAGUGAAUCAUCGAAUCUUUGAACGCACCUUGCGCUCCUCGGUGUUCCGAGGAGCAUGCCUGUUUGAGUGUCAGUAAAUUCUCAACCCCUCUCGAUUUGCUUCGAGCGGGUGCUUGGAUGUUGGGGGCUGCCGGAGACACUGGACUCGUCCAGGACUCGGGCUCCUCUUAAAUGAAUCGGCUCGCGGUCGACUUUCGACUUUGCAUGACAAGGCCUUUGGCGUGAUAAUGAUCGCCGUUCGCCGAAGUGCAAGACAGAAUGGUCCCGUGCCUCUAAUGCGUCGACGCCUCUAGGGGCGUCUUCCUCAUUGACGUUUGACCUCAAAUCAGGUAGGACUACCCGCUGAACUUAAGCAUAUCAAAAGCCGGGAGGAA